rnacentral:rRNA from 1 species
UACGUAGGUGGCAAGCGUUGUCCGGAAUUAUUGGGCGUAAAGCGCGCGCAGGUGGUUUCUUAAGUCUGAUGUGAAAGCCCACGGCUCAACCGUGGAGGGUCAUUGGAAACUGGGGAACUUGAGUGCAGAAGAGGAAAGUGGAAUUCCAAGUGUAGCGGUGAAAUGCGCAGAUAUCGGGAAGAACACCCGUGGCGAAGGCGGGUUCUACUGGGACCGGUGACUGACGCUGAGACG